GAUGAACGCUGGCGGCGUGCCUAAUACAUGCAAGUCGAGCGAACGGACGAGAAGCUUGCUUCUCUGAUGUUAGCGGCGGACGGGUGAGUAACACGUGGAUAACCUACCUAUAAGACUGGGAUAACUUCGGGAAACCGGAGCUAAUACCGGAUAAUAUUUUGAACCGCAUGGUUCAAAAGUGAAAGACGGUCUUGCUGUCACUUAUAGAUGGAUCCGCGCUGCAUUAGCUAGUUGGUAAGGUAACGGCUUACCAAGGCAACGAUGCAUAGCCGACCUGAGAGGGUGAUCGGCCACACUGGAACUGAGACACGGUCCAGACUCCUACGGGAGGCAGCAGUAGGGAAUCUUCCGCAAUGGGCGAAAGCCUGACGGAGCAACGCCGCGUGAGUGAUGAAGGUCUUCGGAUCGUAAAACUCUGUUAUUAGGGAAGAACAUAUGUGUAAGUAACUGCGCACAUCUUGACGGUACUUAAUCAGAAAGCCACGGCUAACUACGUG
rnacentral:rRNA from 1 species